AUUGAACGCUGGCGGCAUGCCUUACACAUGCAAGUCGAACGGCAGCACGGGGCAACCUGGUGGCGAGUGGCGAACGGGUGAGUAAUGCAUCGGAACGUACCUUUCAGUGGGGGAUAACGUAGCGAAAGUUACGCUAAUACCGCAUAUUCUGUGAGCAGGAAAGCAGGGGAUCGCAAGACCUUGCGCUGAUUGAGCGGCCGAUGUCAGAUUAGCUAGUUGGUGAGGUAAAGGCUCACCAAGGCGACGAUCUGUAGCGGGUCUGAGAGGAUGAUCCGCCACAAUGGGACUGGGACACGGUCCAGACUCCUACGGGGGGGAGCAGUGGGGAAUUUUGGACAAUGGGGGCAACCCUGAUCCAGCCAUGCCGCGUGAGUGAAGAAGGCCUUCGGGUUGUAAAGCUCUUUCGGCCGGGAAGAAAUCGCACGGGCUAAUACCCUGUGUGGAUGACGGUACCGGAAUAAGAAGCACCGGCUAACUACGUGCCAGCCGCCGCCGUAACAC
rnacentral:rRNA from 1 species